rnacentral:rRNA from 1 species
UAGGGAAUCUUCGGCAAUGGGGGCAACCCUGACCGAGCAACGCCGCGUGAGUGAAGAAGGUUUUCGGAUCGUAAAGCUCUGUUGUAAGAGAAGAACGUGUGUGAGAGUGGAAAGUUCACACAGUGACGGUAACUUACCAGAAAGGGACGGCUAACUACGUGCCAGCAGCCGCGGUAAUACGUAGGUCCCGAGCGUUUUCCGGAUUUAUUGGGCGUAAAGCGAGCGCAGGCGGUUUAAUAAUUCUGAAGUUAAAGGCAGUGGCUUAACCAUUGUUCGUCUUGGAAACUGUUAAACUUGAGUGCAGAAGGGGAGAGUGGAAUUCCAUGUGUAGCGGUGAAAUGCGUAGAUAUAUGGAGGAACACCGGUGGCGAAGGCGGCUCUCUGGUCUGUAACUGACGCUGAGGCUCGAAAGCGUGGGGAGCAAACAGG